rnacentral:rRNA from 1 species
GACAGAGGUGCCGAGCGUUAGGCGGAAUCACUGGGCUUAAAGCGUGUGUAGGCGGCUCGUUAAGUAUCUUGUGAAAUCCCACGGCUCAACCGUGGAACUGCUGGGUAUACUGGCGAUCUUGAGCAACCUAGGGGCAGACGGAACAAGUGGUGGAGCGGUGAAAUGCGUAGAUAUCACUUGGAACGCCGACGGUGAAAACAGUCUGCUGGGGGUUUGCUGACGCUGAGACACGAAAGCCAGGGGAGCGAACGGG